GUUAAGUACUUCAUAAAAAAAAAACGCAUCAGAAGUCUUAUCCUUUACGCCACGACACCGGCAAAGUCGAUUUCGUGUUCACGGAACACUGAAAAUAAAAUUUAAUAGUGAUUUCCCUGACAAUUCGAAAAUGAAAGAAGUACGUACCAUGAAAUUGUUUUUUAAUUGUGCCGGGGACUAGAACUUUUACGACCACUAAAUUAAUGGCGUAGACAAACAAAAUAAAACGUUAUCUGCAUUUUCGCACUUUGGGAAUUGUCUAAAAAUAAUUCCUAACGAAUUAAUUGUAUUAUGCGUGUAAUUGAAAAUUAAAAUAUUUCAAAAAAAAAAAAACAAAA